CAAACGACUCUCGGCAACGGAUAUCUCGGCUCAUGCAUCGAUGAAGAACGUAGCGAAAUGCGAUACUUGGUGUGAAUUGCAGAAUCCCGUGAACCAUCGAGUUUUUGAACGCAAGUUGCGCCCAAAGCCAUUCGGCCGAGGGCACGUCUGCCUGGGCGUCACAC
rnacentral:rRNA from 1 species